rnacentral:rRNA from 1 species
GAUGAACGCUGGCGGCGUGCCUAAUACAUGCGAGUCGAGCGAACAGACGAGAGUGCUUGCACUCUCUGACGUUAGCGGCGGACGGGUGAGUAACACGUGGGUAACCUACCUAUAAGACUGGGAUAACUUCGGGAAACCGGAGCUAAUACCGGAUAAUAUUUAGCUUCGCAUGAAGCAAUAGUGAAAGGCGGUUCUGCUGUCACUUAUAGAUGGACCCGCGGUGUAUUAGCUAGUUGGUGAGGUAACGGCUCACCAAGGCAACGAUACAUAGCCGACCUGAGAGGGUGAUCGGCCACACUGGGACUGAGACACGGCCCAGACUCCUACGGGAGGCAGCAGUAGGGAAUCUUCCGCAAUGGACGAAAGUCUGACGGAGCAAUGCCGCGUGAGUGAAGAAGGUUUUCGGAUCGUAAAACUCUGUUGUAAGGGAAGAACAAGUACGUUAGUAACUGAACGUACCUUGACGGUACCUUACCAGAAAGCCACGGCUAACUACGUG